ACCCCAUCUUCCAAUAUGUAUUCCUUCAGUGUGCUAUACGGCAAUUUGUAUGACUUUUAUAGUGAUGAAUUCUUAUUUGGUCAAAGUUGUUUCGAGCUGCUGUACUUUAGAUUACGGAGGAUAAAGAUUCGUGCUUUUGAUUUUAUGGCCAUCAGAAUGGCUUCAGCAACCAUCCUUCAAUCGUUAAAGGCUCGAGCUGACCUAGCUGAUAAAAUUAUUGGAGAGCUUCGACGUCAGAUAAGUGCUAUUAAAACUGCUACAGCUGCUAAUGCUGGAGAGUAUGAGGAAGACAGGUUGAGAAAAGAAAAUGAGGCAUUGAAGAAGGAGAUUGAGCAAGUCAAAAUAAAACUUAUGGUGGCAGAAAUCAGGAAUGGAGUGAGGCAGGUUCCAGUUCCACAGAGAAAGAUUGUGAAUUCUAAUGAAGCUGCAGAUGCUGGGACAAAGCCUGUCAUUGCAGCCCCUCAGGUAGACACUUCAGUAAGUCAACCACAGCCAAAGAAAACCAAAAAGGAAGUAGCUGGAACUAAUGACAAGAGUAAAGUUGAGAAAGGAAACAAGAAAGAAAGCAAAGUUGAAGUCAAGCUUGAAGCACCUACUUCAGGAGCAGAUGGGGACACAGUUGACAUUUCACGACUAGACUUGCGCAUAGGCAAGAUCAUUGCUGUGGAGAAGCACCCAGAUGCUGAAAAACUCUAUGUUGAGACUGUGGAUGUUGGGGAGGAAAAACCACGCACUAUAGUGUCCGGUCUUGUAGAGCAUAUUCCCAUUGAAAAGAUGCACAACAGAUUGGCUGUAUUCAUGUGCAAUUUGAAGCCCAGUAAGAUGCGAGGCAUCUCUUCUGAAGGCAUGAUUAUGUGUGCCAAUGCAGGGAAAGUUGAAAUUCUGGAUCCACCUCCUGGUGUUGUCCCUGGAGACCAAAUAACUUUUGAGGGUUACCCUGGUGUGCCAGACAAGCAACUAAAUCCCAAAAAGAAAAUCUGGGAAACUCUCAAGCCAGAUGUUCGUACCAACAAUGAACGCAUCGCAACCUACAAAGGAGUGCCUUUCAAGGUUGAAGGGAAGGGUGUGGUUACUGCACCGACUUUACCUAAUGCGCAGAUUUCUUGAGCUUAAAAUCAUUUUGCAUGUUCUUGGUAUAGGUCAUGAUUUAGGACACUGCAGGGACAAUGCUAAUUGCCAUUUUUUUUCUCUCAGUCCUCUCCACUCAUCUAUUGGUGGUAAUCUGAACAUUGUGAUAGUUUUCUACCGCCGUGGCAAGCAUGCACUAGUGCUUUUAAGCUUGCUGAAAGGCCUUAAAAAAUAUUCUCCUGGUUGAUGUUUGCAUACAUUUUGAAAGACAUAGACCACUCCUUCAAAACUGCAUGAAGUGCCCACACUUUUCUUGACUUUUCAGAAUGUGAUACUCAGCCAAAUAAAAAGUCUUUUAAAGUAUUGAAAACCAUUGUUAUUAAAAAAGUGGUGCAAACAA
rnacentral:misc_RNA from 1 species